ensembl:snoRNA SNORA70 Small nucleolar RNA SNORA70
GUGUAAAAAAAGAUUAACACUUAAAAUAUUUUGUUAAGAAGGAACAAUGUGCAUUGGUUGCAAACAGCAGUCUCUUUGGUAGUGUGCAGCCUGUUGCUCAUAUGGUUGCCCAAAGAGACUUUGGAGACAGCA